UACGGGGGGAGCAAGCGUUGUUCGGAUUUACUGGGCGUAAAGGGCGCGUAGGCGGUCAGCACAAGUCAGUUGUGAAAUCUCCGGGCUUAACUCGGAAAGGUCAACUGAUACUGUGCGACUAGAGUGCGGAAGGGGCAACUGGAAUUCUCGGUGUAGCGGUGAAAUGCGUAGAUAUCGAGAGGAACACCUGCGGCGAAGGCGGGUUGCUGGGCCAACACUGACGCUGAGGCGCGAAAGCCAGGGGAGCAAACGGG
rnacentral:rRNA from 1 species